AGAGUUUGAUCAUGGCUCAGGACGAACGCUGGCGGCGUGCCUAACACAUGCAAGUCGAACGGAAAGGCCCUUCGGGGUACUCGAGUGGCGAACGGGUGAGUAACACGUGGGUGAUCUGCCCUGCACUUUGGGAUAAGCCUGGGAAACUGGGUCUAAUACCGAAUAGGACCACGCGCUUCAUGGUGUGUGGUGGAAAGCUUUUGCGGUGUGGGAUGGGCCCGCGGCCUAUCAGCUUGUUGGUGGGGUAAUGGCCUACCAAGGCGACGACGGGUAGCCGGCCUGAGAGGGUGACCGGCCACACUGGGACUGAGAUACGGCCCAGACUCCUACGGGAGGCAGCAGUGGGGAAUAUUGCACAAUGGGCGCAAGCCUGAUGCAGCGACGCCGCGUGAGGGAUGACGGCCUUCGGGUUGUAAACCUCUUUCAAUAGGGACGAAGCGCAAGUAACGGUACCUAUAGAAGAAGCACCGGCCAACUACGUGCCAGCAGCCGCGGUAAUACGUAGGGUGCGAGCGUUGUCCGGAAUUACUGGGCGUAAAGAGCUCGUAGGUGGUUUGUCGCGUUGUUCGUGAAAACUCACAGCUUAACUGUGGGCGUGCGGGCGAUACGGGCAGACUAGAGUACUGCAGGGGAGACUGGAAUUCCUGGUGUAGCGGUGGAAUGCGCAGAUAUCAGGAGGAACACCGGUGGCGAAGGCGGGUCUCUGGGCAGUAACUGACGCUGAGGAGCGAAAGCGUGGGGAGCGAACAGGAUUAGAUACCCUGGUAGUCCAA
rnacentral:rRNA from 1 species